rnacentral:rRNA from 1 species
CCCUUAGAUGUUCUGGGCCGCACGCGCGCUACACUGACGAAGUCAGCGAGCAUGUCCUACGCCGACAGGUGCGGGGAAUCUUGUCAAACUUCGUCGUGAUGGGGAUUGAUUAUUGAAAUUCUUGAUCAUCAACGAGGAAUUCCUAGUAAGCGCAAGUCGGCAGCUUGCGUUGAUUACGUCCCUGCCCUUUGUACACACCGCCCGUCGCUACUACCGAUUGAAUGGUUUAGUGAGAUCUUCGGAUUGGCGCCACUGCGGCUCAGCAAUGGGCUCGGUGGAUGCCGAAAAGUUGAUCAAACUUGAUCAUUUAGAGGAAGUAAAAGUCGUAACA